GGACUACUAGGGUAUCUAAUCCUGUUUGCUCCCCACGCUUUCGCUCCUCAGCGUCAGUGCCGGCCCAGAGAACCGCCUUCGCUACUGGUGUUCCUCCCGAUAUCUGCGCAUUUCACCGCUACACCGGGAAUUCCAUUCUCCUCUACCGGACUCGAGUCACAGCAGUAUCGACUGCAAUUCCGAGGUUGAGCCUCGGACUUUCACAGCCGACUUGCUGAACCGCCUACGAGCUCUUUACGCCCAAUGAUUCCGGAUAACGCUCGGACCCUACGUAUUACCGCGGCUGCUGGCAC
rnacentral:misc_RNA from 1 species